AUACGGAGGGUCCGAGCGUUAUCCGGAAUCAUUGGGUUUAAAGGGUCCGUAGGCGGGAAUCUAAGUCAGUGGUGAAAUCUUGCAGCUCAACUGUAAAAUUGCCAUUGAUACUGGAUUUCUUGAAUUAGUGUGAAGUGAUUAGAAUGUGUAGUGUAGCGGUGAAAUGCAUAGAUAUUACACAGAAUACCAAUUGCGAAGGCAGAUCACUAACACUAUAUUGACGCUGAGGGACGAAAGCGUGGGGAGCGAACAGGAUUAGAUACCCCAGUAGUCC
rnacentral:rRNA from 1 species